AAUGAAGAAAACAACACUAGCUUUGCUUCUUCUAAGUCUACUUCAUAUACUUCUAUGUCUAUCUUUUCAUGUUUGCGUCACAGAGGCUCGAUUCCGUCACCUAGGUGAGGAACGGAUGUACACACCCCCAUCUCCAGCAUGUGGAGGUUCUCCUAGAGCGAGUUUUGAUACGCUUAUUACAGGGCAAACUAAAAGGGCUUGUAGAAAAAGUCCAAGAUCUCGAAGAACUAGACGUCCUCACGUGUAGGUUUGAGAUUCAACCAAAGAUUUCAAGAGAAGCCCACAUGCAUCCACCCAUGCAUUGUUUCGAUUCAAUCAUUGCUUCAUUAUUACCUUUUUAAUCUUUUUCGAUAAAAAAAAAAAAAAAA